rnacentral:lncRNA from 1 species
AGUGUCUGUGGAGGUUCACGGUGCUGUAGAAAACAAGAGGCAGAGGAAGACACCAUGCUCUUUACUUAUCCACACAUAUGAGGUAUUCAAAAUACUUCUGUCAUCAGUGUUGGGACAGAUUAAUUCAACUUUUACACUAAAGCCAAGCAAAAGCUUUACUAAUUGUUUCUAUCAAUUGCAGAUCUUUUAGCCUGCAUCAAAUUAUCCUGACAGAAAUGCACCACAAAGUAAGUAAGAAAGACUUAAAUAAAUUAUAUUUGAAAGAAGAGCAUUACACACGGCAGACUAGUUUCUUCUUCUUGCUCACACAGGUAGCUGCAGUCAGGGCAGCAGAAUUACUGAAACAUCGUUGUUCUGAGAUUUGUAUCUAGCUUGUUUCCUACAUCUGCGAUUACUACUGUAAUACGCAUAGCAUACACAGUCAUCUUUCAACAUUUUCACUAAUUUAAUAAUGUUGAAUUCAGGAAAUAAAUUUAAAAUAGAUUUUUAAAAUUUUGGUAGGCCUCUUCUGACUUUGUCACUCUAACCUCUUAAAAAAUGACUGUCCUGGGAGAUGUUAUACACCCUUGACACCAUUCCGAUUGCUUUGGAAAGAAUGCCCAGCCCUUAUGUUGUCUGCUGGACUAGUUGUGGGUUGAAAAACUGAUUUCUUAAACACUGCUGUAAGGGGCAGAACUGUGUGGCUUUUGUCCACAAUUGUCCAUCUAAGCUCCAGCUGCAGAGGGAAAACCAAAAUCUCAGUUGGGCCUUCUGAGAGAGAAGACAUGCCUGAGGGUUUCUCAUUCUUAUGUCUAACAGAUUAAAUAUGAGGGAAGGAAAAAAUUUGUUUUUCUCCAGAUUUUGGGAUGGUUGUCCCACCUUUGAGCAGCUGGAUACCACAAUCUUUUUAGUGUCUAACAGUUUUUCUUCUUGUAUCCUAGUAGGUCUCAACUGAAAAGGAGAAAGUGGUGAAUAUCAAAAAAUGCAUGAAAAGAAAUAUUUGAUUCUGGCUCUCGUGUCCAGGUGAUGGUACCAAAGAUCUUUCUCAUCUGGGAACUUGCCUUGUAACCGUUGAACUCACGGCUGACCCUGGUUAUCACCAUCUGAUCAUCAGGAGGCACAUCCUUACCGUGCAGGUGACGGAGCACAGGCACAGGCUGCCCAGAUCAGCAGUGCAGGCUCCUCCUUGGAGAUCUGCAAAAGCCCCUGGACGUGGCCCUGGGCAGCCUGCUCUGGGUGGCCCUGCUUGGGCAGGGGGUUGGGCCAGGUGGGCUCUGGAGGUCCCCGCCAACCUUAACCAUCCUGAUCAGACUUGUUCCGCUCUUCUUUUUCUGGUAAUGUGGAACUGGGCCCCUUGCCAGUAAAGCUACUCUCCCACCUGCCUUGCUGCCGUUCUCAGCUCUGGGCUUGCAUUCCCACACGGGCAAGCUCAGCCCUACUGCUCUCCAGAGUGUUUUUUGCUCAUUAGGUAUGGCUUUGUAAUGCUUUUAGUUGGGUCCAUCUUGUUAAAAUAAUGAACGGAAGGAGAUAAGCUCAAAAGAAAAUUUAAGGUAAGAAGAUGAACAGUUUAUCAGCACUGUAAAGACAGUUUUUAGAACUGUAAAGAACACUGGUAUUAGAAUAUUAUUUUUGUGUAUACCUUUUUUAUCCAGCCAAUACACUUCCUCAUGAGAACACAGCUUUUCUGAAAAAUAAAGUUUCUUGAGUAAAAUUUUUGUGUACA